CCCCUCUCAGAGUUGCUCCUGGAGAGUUUCCAGUACUCUACCAGUCUCGGCUAGUGGAAGGAGAGACAAGCAGAGGACUAACCAUUCCUUUUCUAGCUUGGGUAGUGGUUAGCGAAUGGAAGGCAAUCUGCUACAAGU